rnacentral:lncRNA from 1 species
UCCUGCUUCCUUGAAUUCCCCACAUGAUGGACUAUAACCUGAAACUAACUCUAUGGUGCUCAGAGUUUGGGCUCAAGAAGCAAGAAGCAUUGUGAUUCCAUGAGAAAACCCUGGGUUUAAAAAAUCAGCUUUCCUAAAGCCAAGAAACUAACACAGAUACAAAGCAGCAUUCCGAAUCAAGAGGAAGAGCUGGAUGAAAUGGUGUCGAGACUUUGACUGCUCGUGGGAUGACCGAUGUGGAUCAUUGUCUUUUCCUCGGGUAAUUCCAGACACACCUCA